rnacentral:rRNA from 1 species
AAUAAACGCUGGCGGCGUGCCUAAUACAUGCAAGUCGAGCGAGAAGGUGUAGCAAUACACUUGUAAAGCGGCGAACGGGUGAGGAAUACAUGGGUAAUCUACCAUCGAGUGGGGAAUAACCAACCGAAAGGUUGGCUAAUACCGCGUACGCCUCCGAGUCUUCGGGUUCGGAGGGAAAGCUGCACUGUGAGUGUAGCGCUCUUUGAUGAGCUCAUGUCCUAUCAGCUUGUUGGUAGGGUAACGGCCUACCAAGGCUUUGACGGGUAGCUGGUCUGAGAGGACGAUCAGCCACACUGGCACUGCGACACGGGCCAGACUCCUACGGGAGGCAGCAGUAAGGAAUAUUGCGCAAUGGGCGAAAGCGUGACGCAGCAACACCGCGUGAGGGAA